CCUACGGGUGGCAGCAGUGAGGAAUAUUGGUCAAUGGCCGGAAGGCUGAACCAGCCAAGCAGCGUGAAGGAUGACUGCCCUACGGGUUGUAAACUCCUUUUAUAAGGGAAUAAAGUGAGGCACGUGUGCCUUUUUGUAUGUACUUUAUGAAUAAGGAUCGGCCAACUCCGUGCCAGCAGCCGCGGUAAUCCGGAGGAUCCGAGCGUUAUCCGGAUUCAUUGGGUUUAAGGGGAGCGUAGGUGGGUUGUUAGGCCAGUUGUGAAAGUUCGCGGCUCAACCGUAAAAUUGCAAUUGAUACUGGCAGUCUGGAGUACGGUUGAGGUAGGCGGAAUUCGUGGUGUAGCGGUGAAAUGCUUAGAUAUCACGAAGAACACCGAUGGCGAAGGCAGCUUACUAAACUGCCACUGACAUUGAUGCUCGAAAGUGUGGGUAUCAAACAGGAUUAGAUACCCCAGUAGUC
rnacentral:rRNA from 1 species